rnacentral:rRNA from 1 species
AUUAGACUACCCCGUAGUCCCAGCCGUAAACUAUGCGCGUUAGGUGUAUCGGUGACCACGAGUCACCGAGGUGCCGAAGGGAAACCGUGAAACGUGCCGCCUGGGAAGUACGGUCGCAAGGCUGAAACUUAAAGGAAUUGGCGGGGAGCACCACAACGGGUGGAGCCUGCGGUUUAAUUGGACUCAACGCCGGGAAGCUCACCGGAUAAGACAGCGGAAUGAUUGCCGGGCUGAAGACUCUGCAUGACUAGCUG